ACCAUUUGUCAUUCUCAUUAAUAUAAUCGUUUUGUGACCUCGGUGCAGUCAUGUAUUAUGCCACAGAAGUGAGUUGGCAGUUUAAAAGCCUGAGGAGAACAUUUUAUUUUUCAAACUGGACGAUUACAUCUCCAUAACAAACACAAUGACAGAAUUGCUCUCUAAAAGGCAAUUAUAUGGGUGAUUUUUACGCCUAAAAGCCAAUUUUUUAAGCUUAUGUUAAUGUCCCCCACUUACCCCAGCCCGCCCAGCACCAGGCACCGUUGACCAGAAGAAUCCUCUCCAGUCCUGGUCCUCAAAGAUGUAUGGAAGGAUGCGGGUCAGGAUGCGAGUGCAGUUCAGGAUUGCCUGCUUCUCCCUCUCUGUGGGGCAGCCUGACUCCGCCCCCUGCACCAGCUUCUCCACAGCCUGAAGACGUAGACAACAGGAGUGAGGUACAGCUCGAUUGUGGAUACUACCUUAUAGCAGAGGGUUGCUAAAUUUGAGGGGGACUCCUCCCGGACAGCUCUUAUCUCUGCAGCUGGAACCAGUGCAAAAACAUCCUGGACUGUGGUGGUGGUGUCGGCCCAGAACUGGUCCCAGAAGGCGUCAUCUGUGGCUUCCACUGGCUGUAGAAAAUGAAGUAUAUCUUAAUAUACACUCACUGACCCCUUUAUUAGGAACCACUAAUCUACAGCAGGGUUUCUCAAUCCUGGUCCCAGUGACAUGUUAUCAGGCUUCUGCAGUGCUUGCUGGUGAGCUGACCACUUGAAUCAGGUGGUGUUGGAGCAGGGAAACAUCUAAAUCAUGCAGGGCAGUGGGUCUCCAGGACCAAGACUGAGGAACCCUGAUCUACAGGGAGUUUCACACGCAGACAUUGUCUAGGGUUUACAGAGAAUGGACAGAAAAAGAGAAGGUCUGAUGGAGGAGAACACUGGUCACUGCAUCUCAGUACAGUGCAUUAAAACAUCCCGUUGCCCUUUCAA